AAGUCGUAACAAGGUUUCCGUAGGUGAACCUGCGGAAGGAUCAUUAACACGUAUCCAAACGUUAAAACCCCCCUGUGAACCUUCAACACCAAUGCUCUCCAGAAAGGUUGUACGCACCCCUAAAACGAACAACUGUUAACAAUGGAUAUCUUGGUUCUC
rnacentral:misc_RNA from 1 species